CCGUGAGGGAGGCUGUGUGAGGGAGGCUGUGUGAAGGAGGCUGUGUGAGGGAGGCUGUGUGGGAGGCUGUGUGAAGGAGGCUGUGUGGGAGGCUGUGUGAAGGAGGCAUGUGAGAGAGGCUGUGUACCAGAGGCCCAUGAGGGAGGCCAUGUGGGAGACUUUGUGAGGAAGGCCCGUGAGGAAGGCUGUGUGAGGGAGGCUGUGUGAGGGAGGCAUGUGAGGGGGGCGUGUAAGGGAAGCUGUGUAUUGCAGGCCCAUGAGGGAGGCUGUGUGGGAGACUGUAUGAGUGAGGCUGUGUGAGGGAGGCUCACCAACAAGCACACCUCUGAAGGAUUCUGCCUGUGGGGCAGGCAGGAGGCCAUGUCCUUGUGAUGGCCGCAGUCACCACGUUCAUGGCAGUGCUAUUCACAAUGGCCACAUGUCUGUCAGCAGAGGAACACACAGGCAAAUGGUGGCUCUCCACACCAUCCUUCUCAGACAUCAAUAACAGAAUAUUUUAUGAAUGUAAUGGCCUGGUGGACACCCCAGAGGGACUUCAGAGCCAUAAUGAGCUCUUGGAUUAAAAUGACCAGCAAAAAUGAACUUCAGAUGAAAUACUUGUCGUAGUUGAGUAAAUUAACAAAAUUUAAUUAACUUUCAAUACACAAUGACACUGAACAAUAUCAAAAAUAUACACUAAGAUGAUGAGAAAGAUAAAAGCCUCUGUGCAUAUUUGAAAUGGCCACAACCUCUCUGACCCACACCUCAUCCACCCGCACGUGCUCCGUCCCCACCUCUGGAGUAUGGGCAGGGCCUGUGACUGCUGGGCCGACAAGAGGAGACAGAAGUGAUGGCCCAGGUCUGGGCCCAGGCAUUAGCAUGACAGCAGCAUCCACCUCCUUCUCACAAAAUCCUUGCUCUAAGGGAGGCCAGACACCAUGUGAGGCCCUUGGCCACCCAGAGACCACCAUGUGAGGAGAAGCCCCUGCCAGCCAAGUGGACAGGCUGUCUGGAGGGAGCGAAGUCCCUGGCCAGCCCCAACUCUUCCAGUCACCCCACCCUAGAGGACAGAGAGGCAACUGACAAAGCUUCUAAGACGUUCCAACACCCAAAGCUGCAACUCAAGAGGAACCAAGAGCCAACAGGCAUGAGCGAGGCUCCACAAGUGACCCCAGUGAAGCCACCCCUGACCCAUCCGGCUACUUGAGCCGCCCCAGCAACCACAGGGCAGACACCAACCAGCCCUGCUGCACCCGCCUGGAUGCCUGGAUGCCUGGCUCACAGCACUGUGAGCAUGAUAGGGUUGUCGUUUGAUGCCACUGGUGUUGGGGUUAUGACACAACAAGAGAAAACCAGAACAGAUUAAAUCUGGGCUACAGAGUUUCUACAUAGAGGGGCUGAGCGGCAGCCAUCCAUUUGCAAGAGGAGACUAAGGCAAUGAGUUAGGAUUCGGAUGGGCGUGGUAGGCCCACUGUUUUUCGGAUGUGCAUGGUAGAUCCGCUGUUUUGUCUACAUGGCAGGCAUUCACCGUCCUUGUGCAGGGAUGACGGUGGCCAGUGGAGAUCAAGGGAGGUGUCAAAUCUCCCCAACAUAAAUGUUCUUUGAGAAGACAGAUGGUUGGUAAAUGCAAAGCUAAUUGCUCAUCAGGUUCCUGGCUUUUUAUGUAUGAUGUUCCCUUUGUUUCUGUUUCUCUGCUUGUUUUCCUGUUUGCUUUUGGCUCGUUACUGAAAAACAGAUUGCUAAGUAAUAAGCAGAAGAACAUAAAU
rnacentral:lncRNA from 1 species